GUCGCUGGCGACCGGCGCACGGGUGGAGUAACGCGUAUCCAACCUUCCCCACUAGUAGAGGAGUAGCCCGGCGAAAGUCGGAUUAAUACUCUAUGUUGUACAACGAGGACAUCUGAAUUGUACCAAAGAUUUAUCGCUAUGGGAGUGGGGAGUGCGUCUGAUUAGGUAGGUCGGCGGGGUAACGGCCCACCGAGCCGACGAUCAGUAGGGGUUCGUGAGAGGAAGGUCCCCCACAUUGGUACUGAGACACGGACCAAACUCCUACGGGAGGCAGCAGUGAGGAAUAUUGGUCAAUGGGCGCGAGCCUGAACCAGCCAAGUAGCGUGCAGGAAUGACUGCCCUAUGGGCUGUAAACUGCUUUUAUGCGGGAAUAAAGUCAGGUACGUGUACCUGUUUGUAUGUACCGCAUGAAUAAGGACCGGCUAAUUCCGUGCCAGCCGCCGC
rnacentral:rRNA from 1 species